rnacentral:rRNA from 1 species
CGUGUAGGCGGCUAAGUAAGUCGGGCGUGAAAUCCCACGGCUCAACCGUGGAAGUGCACUCGAAACUGCAUAGCUAGAGUCCUGGAGAGGAAGGUGGAAUGCUUGGUGUAGAGGUGAAAUUCGUAGAUAUCAAGCGGAACACCGGUGGCGAAGGCGGCCUUCUGGACAGUGACUGACGCUGAGACGCGAAAGCGUGGGGAGCAAACA